AUGGUUAAAACUGUUUUCUUUCUUUUUUUUAAGAUUUUAUUUAUUUAUUUGACAGACAGAGAACACAAGCAGGCAGAGGGGCAAGCAGAGAGAGAGAGAGGGAGGCUCCUGCUACGCAGAGAGCCCAAUGCAGGACUCGAUCCCAGGACCCUGAGACCACGACCUGAGCUGAAGGCAGCGGCCCAACCCACUGAGCCACCCAGGAACUACAAGAUGAAAUACCACUGCCUGAUAGAUUUCACACUAAGUAUAUAACUAAUGAAACAGGGCUGAGAG
rnacentral:lncRNA from 1 species